AUGGGGGACACUGUUGUGGGGGUGUCCUACAGGUCACCAGAUUCAGAAGAGGAGGUCGAUGAGGCCUUCUACAAGCAGCUGGUAGUAGCCUCAAGAUCACGGGCGCUCGUUCUCAUGGGGGACUUCAGUUAUCUAGACAUCUGUUGGGUAAGCAACUUGGCCAGGCAUGCGCAGUCCAAACGGUUCCUACAAUGCGUUGAAGACAAUUUUCUGACGUGGUUGGUGGAGGAGCUGACGAGGUGGGGGGUGCUUCUGGACCUUGUCCUUACCAACAGGGAUGGGCUUGUUAGGGAUGUGAAGGUUGGGGGCAGCUUGGGAUGCAGUGACCAUGAGAUGGUGGAGUUCAAGAUGGAACUUGGUGGAAGAAGUAAGGCUAAAAACAGGAUUGCUACCCUGGACUUUCGAAGAGCCAGCUUUGACCUCUUUCAGGACCUGCUUGGGAGUAUCUCAUGGGCUAGGUUGCUAGAAGGCAAGACUGCUUGUGAGAGCUGGAUAACAUUUAAACAGCACUUCUUCCAAGCUCAGGAUCGGUGCAUCCCUAAGAGUAGGAAAUCGGGGAAGGGGGGCAGGAAACCUGCGUGGAUGAGCAAGGAGCUCAUCGAUAAGAUCAAAAGGAAGAGGAAGGUCUCUGAAAUGUGGAAAAAGGGCCUGUCCUCUUGGGAGGAGUAUAGAAGUGUUGUCAGGGCCUGCAGGGACGCGACGAGGGAUGUUAAAGCCCACCUAGAGAUGAGGAUUGCAAGAGAGAUAAAAGAUAAUAAGAAGGGUUUUUUAAAGUAUGUAAACAGUAAAAGGAAGACUAAGGAUAAUGUGGGUCCCUUGCUGAACGAGGGGGGUGUCCUGGUAACAGGAGACGCUGAGAAGGCAGAGAUACUGAAUGCUUUCUUUGCUUCAGUCUUUGCUUCAAGGACUCCCCCCCCCGGGACUCUUCAACCCUGGUGGGGGGAGAAAGGGGCUGGGAAAUGGAGGGCUCCCCCGUGGUUGAUGAGAGAGUGGUUCGGGAGCGUCUGA
rnacentral:lncRNA from 1 species